CCUACGGGGAGCUGCAGUGAGGAAUCUUUGUCAAUGGGCUUACGCCUGAACCAGCCCAGUCGCGUGAGGGAAGACUGCCCUAUGGGUUGUAAACCUCUUUUGUCAGGGAGCAACGCCGGCUACGUGUAGCCGGACUGAGAGUACCUGAAGAAAAUGCAUCGGCUGCCUCCGUGUCAGCAGCCGCGGUAAUACGGAGGAUGCGAGCGGUAUCCGGAUUUAGUGGGUUUAAAGGGUGCGUUGGUGGAAUGCCAAGUCAGCGGUAAAAUCGCGGGGCGAAACCUCGCUCCGACGAUGAAACUGGCGUACGUGAGUGAGCGAGAAGUAUGCGGAAUGCGUGGUGUAGCGGGGAAAUGCAUAGAGAUCACGCAGAACUCCGAUUGCGAAGGCAGCAUACCGGCGCCCAACUGACGCUGAAGCACGAAGGCGUGGGUAUCGAACAGGAUUAGAUACCCUAGUAGUC
rnacentral:rRNA from 1 species